rnacentral:misc_RNA from 1 species
GGAAUUUUGGACAAUGGGGGCAACCCUGAUCCAGCAAUGCCGCGUGAGUGAAGAAGGCCUUCGGGUUGUAAAGCUCUUUUGUCAGGGAAGAAACGGUAGUAGCGAAUAACUAUUACUAAUGACGGUACCUGAAGAAUAAGCACCGGCUAACUACGUGCCAGCAGCCGCGGUAAUACGUAGGGUGCAAGCGUUAAUCGGAAUUACUGGGCGUAAAGCGUGCGCAGGCGGUUGUGUAAGUCAGAUGUGAAAUCCCCGGGCUCAACCUGGGAAUUGCAUUUGAGACUGCACGGCUAGAGUGUGUCAGAGGGGGGUAGAAUUCCACGUGUAGCAGUGAAAUGCGUAGAUAUGUGGAGGAAUACCGAUGGCGAAGGCAGCCCCCUGGGAUAACACUGACGCUCAUGCACGAAAGCGUGGGGAGCAAACAGGA